GUGAGCUGGCGGCGGGGGAGGCGGGCAGCGGAGCCAAGCUGACCCGGCGAGCGGAGCCGGGGCUGGAGAGCGGCGACCACUGCGGAUCUCGGAAGGAAGAAAUGAUGUAAAUCACUCAUCCAAACUUUAAGGUCAAAGGUGAGAAGGAAGGUCAGGAAGAACAUGGCCUGGCCAAAUGUUUUUCAGAGAGGGUCUCUGCUGUCCCAGUUCAGCCAUCAUCAUGUUGUAGUGUUCCUGCUCACUUUCUUCAGUUAUUCGUUGCUCCAUGCUUCACGAAAAACAUUUAGCAAUGUCAAAGUCAGUAUCUCUGAGCAGUGGACCCCAAGUGCUUUUAACACAUCAGUUGAGCUGCCUGUGGAGACAGAGUCUCGCUGUGUCGCCCAGGCUGGAGUGCAGUGGUGCGAUCUCAGCUCACUGCAAGCAUCGCCUCCUAGGUUCACACCAUUUUCCUGCCUCAGCCUCCCAAGUAGCUGGGACCACAGGCGCCCGCCACCACGCCUGGCUAAUUUUUUUUGUAUUUUUAGUAGAGUCGGGGUUUCACCAUGUUAGCCAGGAUGGUCUCGAUCUCCUGAC
rnacentral:sRNA from 1 species